GAGGGUAUAGCUUCGUGGCAGAGUGCAUGUUCAGCAUACACGAGGUCCUGGGUUCGAUCCUCAGUACCUCCA
rfam:Camelus ferus unplaced genomic scaffold scaffold726, whole genome shotgun sequence.